UACGAAGGGGGCUAGCGUUGCUCGGAAUUACUGGGCGUAAAGAGUCUGUAGGUGGUUUGUCAAGUCUUUGGUGAAAGGCCGUAGCUUAACUAUGGGAAUGCCAAAGAGACUGGCAGGCUGGAGGCUGGGAGAGGGAAGCGGAAUUUCUGGUGUAGCGGUGAAAUGCGUAGAUAUCAGAAGGAAGGCCGGUGGCGAAGGCGGCUUCCUGGAACAGUCCUGACACUGAGAGACGAAAGCGUGGGGAGCAAACAGG
rnacentral:rRNA from 1 species